GAUGAACGCUGGCGGCGUGCCUAAUACAUGCAAGUCGAGCGAACGGACGAGAAGCUUGCUUCUCUGAUGUUAGCGGCGGACGGGUGAGUAACACGUGGAUAACCUACCUAUAAGACUGGGAUAACUUCGGGAAACCGUAGCUAAUACCGGAUAAUAUUUUGAACCGCAUGGUUCAAAAGUGAAAGACGGUCUUGCUGUCACUUAUAGAUGGAUCCGCGCUGCAUUAGCUAGUUGGUAAGGUGACGGCUUACCAAGGCAACGAUGCAUAGCCGACCUGAGAGGGUGAUCGGCCACACUGGAACUGAGACACGGUCCAGACUCCUACGGGAGGCAGCAGUAGGGAAUCUUCCGCAAUGGGCGAAAGCCUGACGGAGCAACGCCGCGUGAGUGAUGAAGGUCUUCGGAUCGUAAAACUCUGUUAUUAGGGAAGAACAUAUGUGUAAGUAACUGUGCACAUCUUGACGGUACCUAAUCAGAAAGCCACGGCUAACUACGUG
rnacentral:rRNA from 1 species